CCACAGUGCCACCCCACUGAUCUUCCAGGUGGAGCCUCCUUUCAAAAGAUCACCUGGCUGGUAACAGGAGUCAUGCUUUUAGCAGCACAGAAAUAACUAGGGAAUUGGCAGGUGUGCAAGUAGAAUGAGCAGAUUGGCACCAAACACAAUUUUCUACAGUGUGCUCAUAUUCAAGACAACACAUCCUGGUCACCCAGUCUCUGGUAGUUAUGGUGGGACAUUGCUGUUGGAGGUGAGUGAUAGAGUGGGCCUCAAGCACAGCACAGUCCAUCUGACAUUAAUUGUCUAGGUAAGUGAUGUGUCUACACACUAGUUGUAGCCACGUUUGUUUGGUUUUUUUUUUGUGUGUGUGUGUAGACAGGUGAGAAAUUUACCUUAAAAUUUCUAGCAGCUGUAUUAUCCUAUAGUGUUUCUUAUUUUAUAGAAAGUUAAUGGUUAGUCAUUUGAUUGAGUAAUUUAAAGAUAUGUGCAUAAUUAUCAUGGAAUUGUGAGUCAUACUGAUAACUUUGUUUUGUUUUUCUGUCACUGUUUUUUUUAGAUAGGGACAGAGAAAGUAGUGAGAGACCACAGCCCCAAAGCUUGCUUCAUGUGGUAUGAGUUGGGCUCAAACCCGGAUUGCACACAAGGCAAAGCAGUGCACUAACCAAAUGGCAAGGGAAAGAGAGAGGCAUGGAGAGGAGAGACAUCAAAGCACAGCUUCACUAAUUGUGAAGAUUUCGCUUAGCCUGGUGCUCCCAUGUGGUGGUGAGGGAGUAGGAUCUAGCUGGCUUGGUGUGCAUGGUAAGGUGUACACUCUACCAGGUAAGUUAUAUCCUGGCCCCCUUACCAUGAAAUAUCACAGGAUUCAACUGAGGCAAUGGUUAACCAUAUAGUCUCUUAACUGGAUGCCAGUACAAUCCUAAAUUAAAUUCUGUUGUUCAAUUCCUUGAAUAUUUUUGUAGAUGUCCACUGAAAAGAAGUAGGAAAUGGUAUUUCUCCUCAAGAUGUUAACCCAAGACUUUUGCAAAGUAUUUAGCUUCCACUCAAGAGAUUGUUGAAACCACUGUGUAUGGUACAGAAGGUAAGUUUCACUCAUAUCCACAGCAAAGAUGGUGCUGACUGCUGGGUUCUUGAGAUUCUGCAGAUGCCCAGGUGAGCAUUGAUGAUGUUCUUUAGCCAACUUACAGACCUUGUUAAUUUGCAAAUAUUCUUGCUUAAGUUGUAUUAAGCAUAAUACAUGAUCCGGGGGAUUUUGCCGACUCCCUUUUGCUCUUUGAAAAUGUUUCUGAUGCAAGUAUCUUCCUUAGAAAUGAGCAGGUUUCCUGGUGAGACUUGAAGGUAUCCCUUAUAUCAAGGUACUAGCUGUGGCAUUUUGUACUUAUUCAGUGCUCAACUUUGAAUUUUGUAUUUAUGCAGGUAAUAGUUGAUCUGGCCUUUAACCAUACUGGUUACAAGGUAAGGAGUGAUGUGCCCUUAAGCAUAUUAGUGUGGAGUUGGCAGAUAAUCCAGGUAAGAAAUCUUAUAUCCAAAACUGCAUUAUCAUCAGAUAUCUUAGGUAUUCUGGGAAGACAUUACCGUGUUUCUAAGAGCAUAAGUGACUAGAAUUUUUCAGAUAAUCAAGAAGUGAUGUUAUCUCUCUUAACAUUAGUCUUCAUGAAAAUGAAAGUUUUUUUUUUUUUUGGGUAGUAGCAUAGAUACAUAGAGUGGUACUAUUGUCCUAUAGCCGUCUUUAUGGCUUACGUUUAUGAAAUAUUGGUUAUUUAGGAAACAUCACUACAGAUAUGCUUCAUGUAAAAUACAGUACAUGUGAUCUAUAGGUGGCUGAGCAUUAUUGAGUAAUGUAUCUGUAAAUUAAUACUGCUUGUUACUUUGGAUGGUUAUGAAUUUCCUCAUUUAGUAACCAUUCUGUCUAUUAGGGUAUAAAGACAAGAAAACUAAAAGCUCCAUUUCACAUAUUUCUUGGAAUACAAGUUGAGGAAGAGAUUUCAGAGCACCUUUUCAUCACAUGCAGUGCCAGCGAUUAAGUCCGGGGCCUCAUGAAUGCAGGUCUUGCGCUCUACCUCCUGAA